UCUCUCAAAGCCCUCGCCGCCUCAAACUAAAUCCUCUUUUACUUAGUCGUUCCCCCAAUUUUUCCUCUCUCAAAUUUCAUUUCCCUCUCAGUUUGUGAAAAAAGCCCUAAUCUUGAAAUCCAAUCUGUCUCGCUUCCUUCACCUGCGUCACUCCAACAAUCAGUUUCGCCGUUAACACCGGAAGAAAACGACAAAGCGGUAGGAGGUCGUUGAUGAAACGGGAAGCCGAGAUGGCGUGGCAUUUGAUGGCGUAGAGAGGCUUUGCCUGGAGCGUGCGACAGUGGCGGAACUCAAGGUGGUUGAAGAAUGAAGCUACAUGGUGGGGUUUGCAAUAGGAGAAGGUGGAGGAAGGGAGAUGAAGUGGAGGCGAGUGACGACUAGGUCCCUCUUCAUGGUGUUUGCGUGUUUCACUUUCACCAAAUUGAACAGUAUGUGAAAUUGGUAAUUUCUACAGAUCCAAGCCUUUUUGGCUACCAUCAAUUUCUUUUAGUAUAUGAAUUCAACAGAGUUAGUGCUUUUGAAUUCCUUGUGGGUUUAGUCUUAGUGAUGAUUUGUGCUUUGCAUGUUACUCUGAUUUUGUGUUUUAGUGACUUUGAAUUUGACCCUCUUCGUCUUGGUGAAGUACCAUAGAAUCUUGAGAGAAUCAUAGAGUCAGAACUCAGUCACUGCAUAUGGGCUAUGCUUGUUGUUCAUGGAUGAUGGGCUCUCUGAAAUUACCUAAUACAAUAUGUUUUUGCCCUGGUAUGUACUUUUCCUUUGUCUUUCCUAGCUGUUACCAUUUUCUUUGGAGUUCUCUUGCAUGUGUGAAUCAGGUACGAAAUAGAGGUGUAUGUGUGUGUGUUGCGGCCAUGGAUCUUAGGCUUUGAAGCCUUCUCAUAGCUUCAAGAACCCUAUGAUUCACUAAUUGGAUGGAUUAGGAUGCCCAAAGUGCCAUAAAUUAUAUGACAGGAUAUUAUUUUUUGGGGGAAUGUUCAUCCAAUGUUUGUGGCUCUUCCUUACCUUCACCAAAGCUAUGGUCGUGUUAUUAUCAAUGCAAGUUUGCUACCUUUACCAAGAUGAGUUUAUAUGGCGUGAGAUACAGGGGGCCUAUCAAAUAAAAGUUACUACAAGCGCCCUGGCCUUGUUGCUAACCAGCAGGCACAAUGAACUGGCAAAAAUUCAUGUCAAUGGCCAUCUGAUUAAGAAAAAAAAGAAGAAAUGUUAUCUUUUGGCUGAACAGGUGUGGUAAUUAAUUCAACCAAAAAAAAAAUUAAAUUACAGCGGUUCCGUGGUGGAACCGCUGUAAUAUAUAUUAUCAAAUACAGCGGUUACCGCCUGAAACCGCUGUAAAAGAAGACUCAAGUACAGCGGUUAUUUUAGAGAACAGCUGUUGUAGGUAUGUAUUUAUAGCGGUUUUUUUAAAUCAACCGCUGUAAAUAAUGAGUCUUUUACAGCGGUUAGAACCGCUGUUAAGGCUUUUACAGCGGCAAGAUCUACAGCGGUUCUGGACCGCUGUAAACCGCUGUAAAAGGCCAAAAAAAAACCGCUGUAAAAGCCAUUUUUUGGUGUAGGGCCUGAAAAGAAGGCGUGGAGCUUGGUCCAUUUGGGUAGCUGCAAUAGGCUCAAUUUGGUACAGUAGGAACUCAUUAAUUUUCAGAAGUUGGUGGAUCAAAUACAAACCAAGUCUUGGUCAUGGCUUAAAGCAAAGAUUAAGGGAUUUUCCUAUUCCUUAAUAGAAUGGAAAUCGCAGCCACUGUCAUGCUUGGAUAUAAUUUGAAGUUUUUGUGUUUUAGCUGGGUCACUUUGUACUGCUAUUUACUGUGAAAGCUCUGUUUUCUUGCUGUAAAUUCCUCCCUGUUUUUUUCUUUUUCUCUUCUCCCUUCCCUCUUCUUGUAUUAAGGGUUGGGGCACCCUUGUGUCUCCUUUUAAUACAAUUCAUUUGCUUAUAAAAAAAAAUAAACUAUUAAUAUAUUGGACAGUUACGUACGUUGAAGACGGCACUUGCUUUUAAUAGAAAGAGGCCUGAUCAGAGGGUAUAUUUUUUUGGUACAAAAGAGGCCUGAGAGGGUUGAAUUCAUAAGUCAUAAAUUCAGGGAUUAAAAAUCCAGAGAAUAAAUAAAGUAAAAUUGAAGUGAUCAAUCUCUCUUGAAGUUAAAGGCACAUUCAAUGUGAGAUGGUGGAAAGUACAAUAUCCAAUUAAUAUUCCUUUACUUUCCGUUUAUAGUCACUUCUUCCAAUUCUUUUAUACCAUUUAUGGCAUUGAUUAAUUUGGUAUUGAUGACCAAGAAUUCUAAAGUAAGUACACACUAUCUGCUACACUACUAUUUCACCUCACUCCUGUUAUUGGAAACACUAUCAUGGACUUCUAAACGUUCGACUGGCUUCACUAGUGUAAAUAAACACAAACACUUAACUGUUAAGUUGAAACGUUCAAUCAUAUCGUCUAUCAGGUUUUGUACGAUAACAAUUUUAAGGGCAUAAGUGGAAUACUAAAAUUUUCAU